rnacentral:lncRNA from 1 species
CCCUUUCCCCUUUUUUUGAUUUUCAGAUCCUGUUUGCUUAAACUCGAUCCCCACCUCAUAUUCAGCACGUCCACGAUAUAGAGGGCGAACUGCCUGAGCAGAUUAUCGAUCCGAAGUUCUGUGGCAUGGAUACCUCGUCUGUCCACAGAUGUUUAUCCAUGCUUAUCCUCGCAUCUCACCCAAUCUGCAGCACGUCCCCGGAUAGAAGACAAACUCUCGGUAGAGUUCUUGAUCUGGACUACUACGGGAUAGACAUCACAUCUAGCCCGUAAGGUUGAUGUCGUCCUAGCAGGUUUAGGGAGGAGAUUCGUGGAUGAGCGUAUUAAGUGUUUCUCCAUAGAUUCAUAUUUUCUUCCCCNNNNNNNNNNAACAUCACAUCUAGCCCGUAAGGUUGAUGUCGUCCUAGCAGGUAUAGGGAGGAGAUUCCUGGAUGAGCGUAUUAAGUGUUUCUCCAUAGAUUCAUAUUUUCUUCCCCUUAUCAGACAUUUCGAUUUUUUACUUUGAAUCCACUCUGAUAGGUUGCGAUUCAAUAAUGGAAAAGGCCUACUUAGAUGUAAUGACAGAGAGAAGCAACAACGAGUUUGACAAUGAGCAGCUUGUGAACAAGUAGAAGAACACAAUAUUUCGCAAUAAAAUUAGGAUGUCAACGAGGUUGGAUUUCCAUACUAAGCUAUGUGUGGCAUCUUAUUCUUCAGUUGUUAUCUUUCCUGUCGUGUUGGCUUAUCUCCUGUUUACAUAGGAUUUAGUUUAACGGUUCAGAGUUGCUGUAUCAAUUUCCUAGAUCACAUUGUGUCAUUGAUAUCCUUACUGCAAAAAGAAAAACAUUGGCAUAAAUUUAUUUGUAUAUCAUGUUUUGACGCACUGGAAUAUGCAUAAUUUUUAGUACUCCCUCUUUCUCAAAAUAAGUGUUUCAAUUUGGGUUUUGAUGCACUAAUUUGGA